UUUGGGAUAGCUCAGUUGGUAGAGCAUGAGGCUCUUAACCUCAGGGUUGAGAGUUCAAGCCCCACGUUGGGCAAAA